CUAUGGGUCGCUGCAGUGGGGAAUAUUGCACAAUGGGCGCAAGCCUGAUGCAGCCAUGCCGCGUGUAUGAAGAAGGCCUUCGGGUUGUAAAGUACUUUCAGCGGGGAGGAAGGGAGUAAAGUUAAUACCUUUGCUCAUUGACGUUACCCGCAGAAGAAGCACCGGCUAACUCCGUGCCAGCAGCCGCGGUAAUACGGAGGGUGCAAGCGUUAAUCGGAAUUACUGGGCGUAAAGCGCACGCAGGCGGUUUGUUAAGUCAGAUGUGAAAUCCCCGGGCUCAACCUGGGAACUGCAUCUGAUACUGGCAAGCUUGAGUCUCGUAGAGGGGGGUAGAAUUCCAGGUGUAGCGGUGACAUGCGUAGAGAUCUGGAGGAAUACCGGUGGCGAAGGCGGCCCCCUGGACGAAGACUGACGCUCAGGUGCGAAAGCGUGGGGGGCAAACAGGAUUAGAUACCCGCGUAGUC
rnacentral:rRNA from 1 species